UACAGAGGUCUCAAGCGUUGUUCGGAUUCAUUGGGCGUAAAGGGUGCGUAGGCGGCGCGGUAAGUCGGGUGUGAAAUCUUGGAGCUUAACUCCGAAACUGCAUUCGAUACUGCCGUGCUUGAGGACUGGAGAGGAGACUGGAAUUUACGGUGUAGCGGUGAAAUGCGUAGAGAUCGGGAGGAACACCGGUGGCGAAGGCGGGUCUCUGGGCAAUUCCUGACGCUGAGGCGCGAAAGCGUGGGGAGCAAACGGG
rnacentral:rRNA from 1 species